GUUUUGUCUGGGGCUCGUCCUGCUACAUUUCUUGGUUCCCUGAACAGGAAGCGAGGUAACUGACGGACGGCCAAGGCAGCCCCUUGGGUGGCUUAGGCCUGCCCUGUGGAGCAUCCCUGCGGUGGACUCUGGCCAGCCUGAGUGACGCGAUCCAAAGAGCGCUCCCGGGUAGGAAAUUCCCCGGGUGGAACGCCUCGCCAGAGCAGCACGUAGCAGGCCCCCGAGGAGGAUUAACACACUGGCUGAACACUGGGAAGGAACUGGCACUUGGAGUCCGGACAUCUGAAACUUGCAACCCACUCUCUGUGCUAUGACUUCAUUACUCUUUCCCAGCCCAGCCCUGGGCAAGCCCCUUACGAAGUCUCAGGCUACCUGGAUGACCACCCUUUCUUAUGAUGCUGCAAGGAGGGCAGGUGGGCAGAGCCCCGUGCAUCCUGGGCUCAGGCCAGGGACCCAAGAGCUUGGGAGAAGCUGGUUCUCAGACUGAAGGCCAGAGCCCAGCACCUUGUCACCAUCCCGGGGAGCAUCAUGGCACACAACAACCAGAGCCAAGAGUCACACACCCUCCAGACCACGGUUGUCUGUGAGUUGCUGGAGAGGUGGGCCUCACCUGGGUCCCCUGGCAGUGCUCUGUGAAGGGUCUUGACAUUGCACUGUAAUAAUAAAGGUGUGUGUGAAGUAUC
rnacentral:lncRNA from 1 species